AAAGAGACAAACCCUGGUUUUCGUGUCCAACGUUUGACCGUCCGUCUUAUUUAAAAAAAUUAUAAAAAAAAUUAAAAAGAUAAGUCACGCAUAAAGUAUUAAUCAUGUUUUAUCAUCUAACAGCAAUGAAAAUACUAAUUAUAAAAAAAUUUCAUAUAAGACGGACAGUUAAACGUUGGCACGGAAACCCAGGGUUUGUCUUUUA
rnacentral:pre_miRNA from 1 species